AAACACAGCCAAUAAGGCUUGAAGGCCAACAUUUGCUGUGAUUAUGUGAAACAUUCCUGUAUGUAAUUGAAUAUUAAUUAACAUCAGAAAGAGAGAGAGAAAAAAUUAAUGUAACCAACAAAUAAGAAUAGGAAAGGGUGAACAUAAAUCAAGACAGACAAAAGAAAAUGCAAGAACAAAGUUUGGGAAGACCUUACUAAAAAGAACAGAGUUAAAUGCAAUGGGAGCUGGCAUUAUCUCCAUUAAUUUGUGCCUGUCUUUUGGCAGGAUUCCAGGCUUUGCUGUGCCCCUUCAGUCGCCCCUCCCCACCACCCGCCCUCCAGAGCCUCCUCCCAGAUUUGGCUCCAUCAAGGCUCGCAGCAGAGAGCUAAGCAGGAGCAUCAAUGUGACCAUUUAGAGUGGGAUCUCUGCAGAUGCAGUGGGAAGGUCGGGCAUUUGUGCAGCCCUGCGCGCUCUCGCCUCUCAUUUUGCCGUGUGAGAUGUAGCUCACAUCAAAGUUGUCAUUGAGGGUCUCCCCUCCACCCUCGAUCGGAAACCCCGGUUUGGCAGGGAAGUGGAGUCUUUGGGGAAAGAAUGGUGGCCUUGACGUGACGAAAUGGGCUUAAUCAGCUGCCUAAGAUUAAUACUCUCUACAUAGGGAUUAUUUACACCUGCAGUAUUAACUCUUUAUGCAUACAUACAGUACUUAUUUUUCUGUAUAUUCACUUUGUGGCCGACACUGUAGACAUGUUGCAUGUUAUGCUUUAAAUCAGGAAAUUUUGUGCAUGUACACAACGAUGGAGGGCAAAAAGGCGAUUAUUUUAUCAUCCACAGCCACGCUAUUACAAUAAAGCAAUUAACAUAAUGAAACCUGCAGGUAGCUGCUAUUAAUUUAGUGCAGUGCGCUGCAGCAAGGGGAAGAAUAACACAGAAAAGCCAUUGAAGAAUAACUAAAAACCACAAGUAAAAUAUUUUUUUUAUGCUACAUACAGACCCAUUAGCUGACUGACAACAGGUCCACUAAUCUAUCAGGAUUAAACAGCAAAAAAACCCACACAAACAUUUCUCACACAAAGAACAGAACAUUUGGUCUGUUACAAUGUUAUGUUUUCUGGCUUGAUGUUUAUUUUUGCAAAAAAAAAAAAAUCUAGGUAAAAGGAGCAUACAUUUAAAAUUAUUUGUAUUUUUUUCAAGAAUCGUAGUUAAAGUCUUUUUCGCAUAACAACAAAGAAGCCCCUAUGGUAUGUUUGUGUUUUUACUGGUAUUGUGGAGAUUUAUCGUUGAUUAUGAGCUCCACGUCUUUGAUCCUUGCCAGGAUCCUAAUUUUGAACUUCCUCCACAGAUUCUCUGGCCGGACUCUGACUAGGCCACUUCAAAAAUGUACCAUUACUUCCAGUCUAAACACAAACAUGCUGAUGGAUGCAACUUAAAACCAGGCCUUAAAGGCUGGCAACAGUAAAGACAGGUGGAAAAGCGAGAAGGAGGAAGGAAUGGAGAUUGGAGUGACAGACUAAGGAGAAGGCAUCAGGGGAGUUGCUGUUGAGCUCCAACGGUCACUGGACAAGAGGCAUUGAACAUCCCGGACAAGCCCCCAACCCAUCAAAAGGGCAACAAGGAGAUACAGAACAAAGAGCCACGCACGCACACUCACACUUUUACACCUCAGGGCAAUUUAGAGGGAACAUUAACCAACAUUAUCAGUCAUGUUUUAGAACUUUAGGAGUAAUCCUUCUUCCUACUGGGCAACAGAGCUUGCUAAUGUGCAACACUAUACUAAAUUUAGCAGGUCUUUUGUUCAUUUUUAUUUUGUCCAAUUAAGGUACGUGCUGUAUUAAAAAUUGCUGUAAUUAAACGUAAUAUUCAGGUUUUGAGUAUUUCAUAUGAUUUGGCAGCAGUAGAAAUAAUUGUUAUUGACAAGAUCAAUUGAUUAUGUUAUAGAUAGAACUACAUUAUUUCAUAAGGAGUCUCUUUUUGCCCCACACCUACUGCUGCUACAGGAAGUCGUGACAUUGCACUCCCUCUGCCAUCUUUGGCCAAACUGGAUGUCGAGCAAACCCCAGCUUGUCUUUUCUUUUCCAGCUUGUGCUCAGCCCUGGCAGCUGUGCUCACUCAGAAAGGAUGAGUGGAUGCCAUCUACCCUUCACUGCCGAGGCCCUCCAAGUGCUCCCAGUGUGGCCCUUGAGAGGAGCCAUAAUCUUCUCCUGCCUGCCUUAUGUUCCCCCUAUGCGUAUUCCUAGACUGCAGGCCUGGGAGCGGGGGGCAGUCCGCCGUAUCCUGCUAUGAGCAUAUUGUCAUUAAAUUAAAAAUUUCCGAACACUCCCUUGCUUGUGGCAUAACUGCCGCCACGAGAGCGAUCAUAAUUGGCUCUGAAAACAUACGUAAUUGCCUUCAGCUGGCGCUCUUUUACAGUUGACAUUGUUGAGGAGGCGGCGGAGCGAUCGGGCGAACUGAAUCUGCAGCUUGUUUCACGACGGCGGUCGUAAUUUAAAUAUGGUACGUGUGAGUGGAAGAUUACAUUAAAGCUCCUAGAUUAUCACCUGACAGGGGAGUCAUUGAAUCGACAAUCUGCCGCCGUGUUCCGGGGAGCGGGCCACGGCGAACGGGCCAUGUGAGGACGGCAGUGGGGAGGGGGUCGAUGUUAGCUCUCUCGGAUGCAGAGCAGUACCGGAUUGCCAGUUCAGCCUCCCUCUCUCUUUCUACUUUGUAUCAGACACACUCCCCUCCUCUGCUUUAAAUACGCUGCUUCCCCUUUAAGAGCUAGCAGAUGGCUACACUGAGGUUUCAUUUUCAUUAAUAUUUUUAUUACCCUUUUUAUACAGGCAACAUGAAACCCCUUCUAUCCUCCGCCAGUCUGUCUUUUUAUGACGUAAAAUUGAAAUUUUUCUGUUGACGAUUUUCGCUUUACCUGUAAGGCAUCGUUUGGUGUCAUUGCGUUGACUCUCUUUUGAGUCAACUCGCAUAUUAAAGUUUUCAUUUCUCUAAAAGUUCCUCGUGCCCUUUUUUUUUUUUUUUUGUCUUUCCAUGCUGCGCUUUCGCUUCCUCGUUCUUAUAGACGGCAGGAAGUGUUGUUUUACAAAUAUUUCAAAAUCCCAGACUGCGGGUGUAGGCACAUUACUGGAAAACUGAUGCACACGUUAGGAAAGAUGCAGAGGCAUUGGUUGCAUUCAUACUCCCUUUCCUCUGCAGACAAUCUGGGCUGCUGUUGUUGCUGAAACGAAUCAAAAAAAACAACAAAAAAAAACUUGCAAGCUCCUCUUUAAUCUACUUCUCCUUUUGCCAUUAUCUUAUAUUUGGGUAUAAACACACACACGGUGCAACCCGAUAAUAUGCAAUUAAAAACAAAGAUCAUUAAAAAGUUAUUGGUGUCUGCCUAAUUACUAUAACUUUACCUCCCUUAUAAUGAGCGUGCAUGGGUAUUGAUUGGAGGCAAAUCUCCCUUUCCUCCUGGAAAAAAGCAGGUAGUUACUUUGUGUUAAAUCAUUAAUAUAGUAAUGAUUUUUCAAGAACACUCUCAAUUAAGACCAAAGCAGAAAAUGACCCAAGGGAGUUGAGGCUCACGCUCUUAAAAGUGUGAUGCUCCAAAUAUAUCUUCUCUCCUUUCUCGCCAUAUGGAUAGGACCCAGCCAUGUUCCUGAAUAAUUUAAAGAGGAGCUGGUUGAUUAGAACGAGUGUAAAUGUGUUUCAAAGUUAAAGGUCUGCAACUUUAAGGGGGGGGGAGCAUAACUAAUACUGUAAGGUGCUAAUAAUAAGCUCUGAUAACACCAGCUGGAUAAUGAAUCUGUAAGACAGAUUAAAAGUGAUUUAAAUAUAUAUAUUUUUAAAAGGAAUUUCAUUAAUGCAGGUGUGACUAAAAAUGCUGGAGAUUGUACCAUGAUUGUUGUGUAAAUUAGGUUUAUUAGUAAGCACUGUGCCAGGAUCUACAGAAUAUUAAGUUAACUUGAUAUAGUCUGGUAAAACCGUCCUGGUGUUUUACGCUUUGCUUCGUACAGAGAUCAGCUUCAUACAGAGCCGAUCUGGACCAUCGGCUAUUGAGAAACGAUUGCUUGCUGGAGGCAUGAACUCUGUUGAAGUUUACAUAGGUCAUUUGGCUAUGUAAUGCAGCAGCUUCAUUGUGAAGUAAGCUAAACUAGAAGUUUACUGGAAAUUGAGAGUGCUUUUAAAAACCAUCUUCCACCAAUGAGAAGGGCAUCAACAUCUUUACCAGCAUUAAAACACGUUGUCUCUUGCUCUGACUGUAAUCGUUCAAAACUUGAAUUUGUGGCCAACGCGGACUGAAGACGUUGUUUGCUUUCCCCGCUGUCAUUCCCAACUACAACCUACGGCGGACUACAAUUUAAAAACGGCGCGUCGUCGUUCUUUUCGCUGACUGAUCAGGAUGAAAUGCGUCCUGAGAAAUCGAGCUCAAGAUUGUUCCAAACUUUGUUGCUUGAUAAUUCAGCCAAACAAGAACUGUGUUUUUCUGUGAAGCAAUGGCGUUUGACCUGGCUAGCUCUACUAAUCCGGCAAAACACGUUCGACUCACCAGUCCACUCAAACAUGGUCAAAAACUGAGUUGAGUUUUGUGUCGGAAGCAUCAAUAGUUGUUAUUUUUCCAUCUUUCGUUUUAACUAUACCAACAGACAGAGACUUAAUUCAACACCCAAUAUCUGUUGUUAUACUGUCUAUCAGCUGCCCCUAUAGACAACUAGCAACCGCUACGGCUGUCAUUUUUCUGAUUUUGAAAAGACUCAUUGAUAAGUCAUUACUUAUCAGAGAGGUUAAUCAUGAUCAAGACUUGAAGGUAGCAUUUAUUGACUGGUGAUUGGUGCUUUGAGUGACCAGUAUGACUAGAAGUUACUCCAUUUAUCACCAUUUAUUUACUUUUAAGUUGCUGAAUAUCUGCCAUGUUGCAUGUUGUCUAUGGUUUGGCAGGUGUGUAAGUGAGGUGUUGGAAUAAAUUAUUUUAAUUUCUUUUUAAAAGUCCUUUUUAAAAAAAUUAAUGUUUGAACAGAUUAAAUGUGUAUUCAGAGGUUCCAUUGUAGUGGCUUUCAUAACUUAAAAAAAUCAAGGUUAUUCUGCAGAAUCUCCAGUUUUAACAAAAUAUCUGUUGUCUGGAUACUGCAGCUUUCUGAUUGUCAUUGGAGUGAAUUUCAUGUAGACCUUAUAAUGCUUGUAGCAUGAUUAUGUUGCAGUCAAGAUUUUUGUAAGAUUUGUAUCUACAAAAGGCUAAUUGUAAACAACUUGAUCAAAAUUCAGGAUAAAAAAAUGAUUUGGACAACCCUGAUACCACAGCAGUGAAUUCCAACAAAUACGGUACAAACUGAAAUUCCCUGGAUAUUCCGUCUGAACACUUCAGUCUAAAGGAUUGUAAGUAUUGCUAACGUACAAGGAAAGAAAAUCGAAAUCCUGAGAGAGAAAAGAAAAUCUGUUUUGUCUGUUGGGUAAUUUCAAAAUGAUCAAACUGUAUCCUCUAAUUUUAUCCCUCUUAAAUGUUUGUCCACCGGCAUUAAAGAAAGAACUGAAAUUAUAUAUAUAUAUAUAUAAAAAAAACAGCACAACAAAAUUCUAAAAAGUCUUGAGCCAUUCCAAUAUUUGGUCUUGGUUUUUUGGUUUGUAUAUGUUAUCCAAUUUCUCUUUGUGAUUCAAAUGUAUAUUUUUUUUCUUCCACAACAAUCUCCAAAACCACCUCCGCGAGGCACGCGAGGGCCUCCCCCCACUCGAUCCUCUCUGAAAUGCUCCAACAAUUACAUCAUUUGUUCGACCAUUAUCUCAACACCUGCAAGAAAAUCUGUCUCAAUUUUCCCCUCUGCUUCUGAUCAUGUUUCCCUCUCUUCUUCCUCCUGUGGCCCCACUGAGAUGCUGAUGCGGCUCCAAGCAGCUUCUGUCCCCGUUGGACACAGCCGUCCCAACAUGCAUCGUCUCCAUGCCAAGAGCCCGCGCCAGUUCAGUCCCCUAUACCACCAAGCACUUGUGCUAACCCUGCCUUUUGUUUUCGUUGCCACUCUUUUUGAGGCCCCUGUGCCAAACACACACAGGACUCAAGUAGCGAUACACAAUCAACACAACACACUCUCCCCUCUUUCUUUCAGUAAGACCAAUAAUAUUCUCUUAGUUAGUGAGCAGACGGGGCCAAGAACAAAGAGACCUUUGGCUCUGGGCAAUGAUUCAUUAUAGUCUCCAUAACCACGCUUUAUGGCCACUCUCUUUUGAAAUGCUUGACAUUUUACUCUGUUUUCCUGAGACAUAGUCCUGGGUACAGUGCGUCAUCUUUGUUAGACUUCAUCACACGCAAAGAGCUAUCUCAGUUUAAUGUCAUUGCCUUGGUGACCAGCAGGUGUUUGGCAACAACAGAGAAACGGACAAUGUGUCAAGGGAAUGUGGAAAGUGUUGAUAUAAAUCUCAAGCCUUCAAUCUUGACUCGCAAGGUAAUUUAUUCAUAAUGCUUAUGAGAAGCUUGGGAGCGUCACUUUCUCACACUUUGCUACAGCAAGUGAUAAAUGGGAAGUAUGUUUCAAAGAAGGUGGAACAAGCAAGUUGGAACCACACAGUAUGGUCAGUAUGGUCACUUUAAAUGUUUUGGUUUGUUGCAUACCUUCAGGGCAUUUGAAGUUCCAGUUGCCUUUUUUGGGAUGGCAGAAACUGACCUUCUUUGUAAUAUGUGAAUGAUUAGGAUGUACUCCAUAUGAAAAUGAUUAACUUCAUCCAUGCAUGUUGGGUCGGAUUAACAGGCUGCUUCAUUUGUAAUCAGGCAAACAAAGAGCCACAGUUAUGGUGUGAAAACUAAGGAGCAUCACCUAUUAUUGUAAAAGUAAAGCUGUUGUAAAACAACAGUUUUCAAACUGCAAGUGGCAUGACUAUGAGCUCACUAUCUGAGCAUUGAGCCUGACUAAAACCAUCUGCCCUCAAGAUAUGACUUCUGUGGGAAUCUUUUUGUGGCUAUUAAAGUUUCCCAGGUCUUGAUUUAUCCACAAAAAUUUGGCUGUUGCAGCCCAUAGGAUUCGUCCCUAUAAAGACUCAGAAAGGGGCAUACAACAUCCUGGAGAGCCACUGUCCUGUUACUUCUGGGUGCAUGCCUGCUCCAACACACCUGAAUCAAAAGGCUGAAUAACUUCCCUGGCAUGUGAGUAAGUUUUACAAAGGCCUGGUCAUUAAGUUCUCAUUUGAUUCAGGUGUGUGGGAGCAGGAGCCAAAAGUUUCAGUAUGGAGGCACUGAACGAUUACAGUUGCACUGUAGGACUAAGAGCACUGGACUAAAAAAAGACACUAGAAGUUAAGUUUGAUUAGCUCAUUUGAUAAACUGUAACAAAUCCAGUUGUCAACCAAAUCUACAGGUCAGAAGACAUUUAAAUAUGCAAAUCUUUUCACAGUUUGCAAUGGAUCCCAGUUUUCAAAGGGGUUGAGUCCCCACAGAUGGCUAAAAUCCAUGAAUACUUGAGACCUCCUCUAAAAACAUCUAUUUUAAUAAUUCAACCACCAGGCAUACGGUUCUGGAAAAAACUUGAGACCACUGUAUUGAACCCCAUUGAAAACCUCAUGGUUAUUCCACCAAAUAUAGAUUGAUCAACUCUUCCUGAGUUAAAA